GCGGAUGUGGCGAAACUGGCAGACGCACUAGACUUAGGAUCUAGCGGGGCGACCCAUGCAGGUUCGAUUCCUGUCAUCCGCACUA
rnacentral:tRNA from 1 species